GCGGGAUCCCAUGUAUUCUUCAUGGAUAAGACAAUCCUAUAUUGCACUGGAGCAAGCUCAAAAGAAGAGGAGAAAAAAAAACACAAAGUCACAUGCAUUACUGUUAUGAUAGCAUUAUGGUGUUAUUUAUAGUAAUCACUAUGAACUCUUGUCACAUGGAAAAGAGCAUUUUGAAAAACUGCAUUUGGAUUUGCACUGUGAUUUUCAUAUUUUUGGGUGAACUGUUCCUUUAAUAUUGGAACAUUAACUGAGGUAAAAAAAUGGUGAAAGUCUCCCAGUUUCCGUGGAGUUUUCUGCAGUGCUGUGAUCAUGUGUGAAUUGUCUCUAACUUGAGCUUGGGAGUGAAGUUAUAUUUCACCAGUGAGUUCAUGUGAGCAGCUCCACCCUCUGUUAUACUGUUUAUGAAAAGACACCCAAAACCAGCAGCAAUACGAGCCAUUUCUGCAGUGAUGCAACACUGUCAAGUGACACAGCAGACGCAGGAGACACCCAGUGAGAUGAUACGCUACGGCCUUGUUAUUGUUGUUGUGAACUGUAAGGUUUCGACGUUCUCAUUGAUUCCAACCUCAAACCGUGGCUCUUGGAAGUGAACUUCUCUCCCUCACUGGCAUGCGAUGCUUCUGUGGAUUUAAAGAUAAAGGCCACUAUGAUCUCUGAUAUGUUUUCUCUUGUGGGUAAGUUAGUUUUCCCAGGCUCAGAGUCUCAGUCCAACUUCAUGUUUUGAAUGUGCACGUUCGGUCAUAUUUUCAAACCACAGAACAGCCAUAACUGCAGGUUACUUUGGCCGUGGCUUUUGUCAUGUGGGUCACACAUGUUUGGUCUGCAGUAAUGACCAGUUGAGAGGAAGGAGUGUUGUGCUUUCCUCCCUUACAGGAGGGUUUGUGGAAAACACAGACGAAAUUUGGCAAAAUUUGGAUGAAUAGAUACAAAGUAGGGCUGUAAUUGAAAUAAAAUGGCGAUAUGGACUAGUGUCUGUGAAUAUUCAAGAGCAAAGAGAUUGCGUUUCACUAUAUGAACACAUCAACUUCAUCUCCAGAGCUGCUCUGAGAGUCACUUCACCAUUUCUUUUUAUAAGACUAUAGCCAAAAAUACACACGGAAACUCGUGACAAAACACGAAAAUAAAAGCUUGGUUAAUACAUAAAACUCAAUUAGGUUUAUGGGGCAAACAACACAAGCAUUAUAAAAACUUGAAGAUAUUAUUACAUGAAAUAUAUUACUAUAGUAAAGUAGAAUGUAUUUCUCAUAAGGAGUAUCACAAUUUUUCAUCCAUGUUUUCAUUUAAACCAUAAACCUCUUUUGUGCGGCACUUUGCCAAAAAAUGAAAGGAAUUGUUCCCAUUUCAUUUGAUUAUAUUUUAAAAUAUAGAAUUGUUAAUAGUUUUAUGCAUUCAUGAUUACCACCAUUUUUGAUAAUAAAUUUGUAAUAAAACAUAAAAAAAACAGAAAAUGGAAUUUGGAAAAAAUAAAAGGUGUAUUUCAUAGGUUUCGUAGGUCACGCUGGGCGUCUCACUAAAUCCGUCUUGCUCACAAACCACUAACAGGGCAUUGUUGCCUGCUGGUGGUUUUGUGUCACAUUCUUCCAACCCUGCAAACUGUGUGAUGAUCAAAUGUGAAGAGGCUGAAAAGCAAUGAAUUGCCCUGCAUCAGAAACACAGUGUUAAAGAGUUCCCCGCAGGCGCUGUUCAUGAGCAUAAGAUGACUUACAUGAAGGAACUGUCAGCAGAACAUUAGACGCUUGCACGAGUCAUUGAACUGUCACAGUUUGGCUGAAGAAAACACCUCUGCAGCGCUCAUGAAUAUAAUGAUUGCUCAAGGCAGAGUUUUGUUAUGCUUACGUAAUAGGCUGUCCCUGCUCCAAAAGCUCACAUCGCUCACUGUAAUGAUUGAUCUCUGUACAAUGACGGUCGUUGAUCGCAUGCAGUGUUUCGUCGUCUUCGUUUUAUGGCAGUGUCUGUGUAAUGCACAUUUCUGAUUUUUACUUGACAUCAUUUUUGGGUGUCUUGCCACAGUAGAACUGAUCAACUCAAGACUAUUCAUGCAUUCUUUGUAAAAGUUAAGGAUUUUGAUUCUGGUCACAGGUUCUUUUUUGUAUGUUUGUCUGUACUUUCCUUUGUGUGGUGAUUUUGUUCAUUUAAAACUGUGUUGUUUUUGUGUAUGGUGUUUUUUAUGGCUCUAAUAUGAUGUUAAGUAAUACAUCAAGCGGUAUUUAGGCAAGUCAGCUGAAAAAGUUUUGGAACAGAGCCGUCGAGUGAUGUGAUGACCACAUACACUUCUGUUCAAAUGUUUGGGGUCGGUAUAUUUAUUAGUCUCUUCUGCUCACCAAGUCUGCAUUUUUUGUUCAACAAUACAGUAAAAACAGUAAAAUUGUGAAAUAUUAUUACAACUUAAAAUAACAGUUUUCUGAGUGAAUCUCUGUUAAAGUGUAAUUUAUUUCUGUGAUGUGCAGCUGUAUUUUCAGCAUCAUUACUCCAGUCUUCAGUGUCACAUGAUCUUCAGAAAUCAUUCUAAUAUGAUGAUUUGCUGCUCAAGAAACAUUUUUUUUUAUCAGAGUUAAAAACCUGCAUUGGUCUUUAUUCUGAAUUAUUAGAUAAAAGUAAGUUUAAAGAGCAGCAUUUAUUUGAAAUAGAAAUCUUUUGUAACAUUAUAAAUGUCUUUACUGCCAUUUUUGUUCAAUUUAAUGCGUCCUUGCUGAAGAGACAUAUAUAUAUAUUUUUUUUUAAAUCUAACACUCUUUGAACAGUAAUGUAUAACAUCCAUCAUUGCAUAAAUUCUAACAUCAAACAGAAAAUUUGAUUUGAUUCAAUAACUUUUUCUGACUGAUUAGUGUUUGGGCUGCUGUUAUUUAUACACACUUCAUUCCACAUCUGAAUGGAUAGAAAUAAGCAAAUUAUGAAUAACCUGUAUUAACUGUCAUCAAAGAACCCACCUGUCUGAACAGCAACUGUGUCUUGUGCUUAGGUUUUGUGUGUCGGGAUCUGUUUUUACGUCAGGCGCAGACUGUCAGAGCUGGGAUUGAUUCAAGGUAAAAAAAAAAUAAAAUAAUAAUAAUAAUAAUUCCACAAUAACUGACCUUAUUUACAUUGGUUUCCUUCUGUAGAGACCCAGAAUAAACAGCUGAGUUGUUAGGACCAUCAUGAUGAUCAUUAGACAUCCUUAUAGAGUUUUUUAAUAAGAAUAAUGAGAACAAAACCCUUCAUGUAUCAGGUUUGUCAGUGUAAGACUAGAG
ensembl:lncRNA